GAUGAACGCUGGCGGCGUGCCUAAUACAUGCAAGUCGAGCGAACAGAUGAGGAGCUUGCUCCUCUGACGUUAGCGGCGGACGGGUGAGUAACACGUGGAUAACCUACCUAUAAGACUGGGAUAACGUCGGGAAACCGGAGCUAAUACCGGAUAAUAUAUUGAACCGCAUGGUUCAAUAGUGAAAGACGGUUUUGCUGUCACUUAUAGAUGGAUCCGUGCCGCAUUAGCUAGUUGGUAAGGUAACGGCUUACCAAGGCAACGAUGCGUAGCCGACCUGAGAGGAUGAUCGGCCACACUGGAACUGAGACACGGUCCAGACUCCUACGGGAGGCAGCAGUAGGGAAUCUUCCGCAAUGGGCGAAAGCCUGACGGAGCAACGCCGCGUGAGGGAUGAAGGUCUUCGGAUCGUAAAACUCUGUUAUUAGGGAAGAACAAAUGUGUAAGUAACUAUGCACGUCUUGACGGUACCUAAUCAGAAAGCCACGGCUAACUACGUG
rnacentral:rRNA from 1 species